AACGAACGCUGGCGGCAUGCCUAACACAUGCAAGUCGAACGAAGCCUUCGGGCUUAGUGGCGCACGGGUGCGUAACGCGUGGGAAUCUGCCCUUGGGUUCGGAAUAACAGUUAGAAAUGACUGCUAAUACCGAAUGAUGUCUUCGGACCAAAGAUUUAUCGCCCAAGGAUGAGCCCGCGUCGGAUUAGCUAGUUGGUGAGGUAAAGGCUCACCAAGGCGACGAUCCGUAGCUGGUCUGAGAGGAUGAUCAGCCACACUGGGACUGAGACACGGCCCAGACUCCUACGGGAGGCAGCAGUGGGGAAUAUUGGACAAUGGGCGAAAGCCUGAUCCAGCAAUGCCGCGUGAGUGAUGAAGGCCUUAGGGUUGUAAAGCUCUUUUACCCGGGAUGAUAAUGACAGUACCGGGAGAAUAAGCCCCGGCUAACUCCGUGCCAGCAGCCG
rnacentral:rRNA from 1 species